ACAUCCACGUCAGCUGAUGGAGGUCCAAGAGUCUCACCCAACAAACAACCUACAGAGUGAAGACCUCAAAUCUGAUUGGACGGCCUCCUAUUCAGCCACGUGUGAACAAAUGCCUCUAAUUUAGGCUGUUAGAUUGUUCCAGAUAAGACAAGUACAAGAUUCUUCAGAGCCGUUCUACCACGAGCCUGACAGGAAGAACUCCAACAGCUACUGAAUGUUCCUGUGGUCCCCUCAAGGCUACAGGAGGAGCCCUACGAGGACGAGCUGGUCCACCUGAUGGCGGCCAGUCGCUGCGGUUCAAAGCCAACACCGACUACGUGGACUUCUACUGGACCACACGGAGGCCUUCAAACUGGACCAACAAGUUCAGCGACUCCCCGACUCGUGGGUCUGAGGACGCCGCCGAGCCUCGGUCCAGCCGGCCUCCUGUCUGUGGGUGUUUGAGUGCUGAGAGGUUUAUGGAUCCAUGUGAACGUUCUGUGUUGAAACAGCAGCUUUGGACUCAGUAACGCCGGGAAAAACCAAGAGCUCCUUUAUUUGUGACUUCCACUAAAAAAAAACUGAUGAAAAUAAGUUUGCCAGGGUUCUGACUGAUAACAGAUUAUUAAAUAAUGAAAAUAAUCGUUUAAAUAUUCCUUUAAACAAUCCUUUUAGGUCUACAUUUCCUUUACACUGACUUCUUGGUAUAUGUACAAGUAUUUUGGGUGGAAUAUACCAUUAAGCCCAAUGUUCAAGGGUUCUUCUGGGAAUAUACCAUUAAACCAACCUUUUAGGUAAAUGUUCCAGGAUGUUGGGUAGAA
ensembl:lncRNA